ACUUCGACUUCGGGUCGACGGGGUGAACAAAUCGUGGUUUCUUAUGCAGAUGAUGAUAUUUUCAGUAUUUCACUUUUGAGCUUCUGACUUUGCCCGUGACAGAGCUGACGACUGCUACUGUCUGAGCCCCGCGGUGGCAUGUGUAAUUUAAACCUGAUACAACAGGGCCAGACACAGGGCUACGCUGCAUCUCUUUUGUUUUUUUUCUCCUUAACGUUUGAUGGGCAGAAGAUGAUGUAUAUUUCUGUACAGUGUAAGUACGAUGUAAAAUAGUGGGAGUGGAGUAAAACGACAGAUGCUAUCUAGGUCACACAGAUUGAAGCAGAUAACGCUGAGGCACGUGCAAAUCUUGCCCACUCUGUGUCGUCUAUUUUUAUUGCUGUAUUUUCAGGAUUGAGGAUGGACAGGAGUUUAGGGUUAUUUAACUGACGAAAACAGACAAACAAACAAACAAACAGCCGAUCAGGCUGCUCAUGUACCGUAUCGCAAAAAUCCACUCUGGACUGUACAACUGUUUUCACUUUGCUCUACUUCUUUUUUUCUUUUUUUUCCCUCCAAGUAUUGCACCUUUACUUUUUUUUUUAUGUGUUUUUUUUUUUUUUUUUGGACGAAUACUUCUGGAUGAACUAUAUCUUUGAACUACACACAAAAACAACAAACAAAACAAAAAACAGUCUGGUGGUGUGGGUUUUUUUUUUCCUUCAAUUUUCACUCUGUAUCAGUUGUAUGCUCAUGUUCUGUGCAUGUUUCUGCAAAGACUGGAUAAGAUAUUGUAACAUACAUACUACAAUUGCACUUGACAGCCGCACUUCACAAACUUCAAUAAACAUGCUUAAGGAAGAAUACGUUUGUGGUUACUUGUGUUUUUCCCAAUUGGUUCUGUCAAGUUGGUGUGACUAUGACUAAAUGUGUACACGGCCUGUUGGGGUCGGGAAGGGCGGGGGGUGGGGGGAUAGAAGCCACUGACUAUUUAUUUUGUCUGUACUGCUUCAGCACUUCCUACUCUGUGGUAUAUUAAGUUGGUCUGCUCUGAAGCUGUUUAAUCAGGAUUCCUGUGUAUUGUUUACUAGUCAUUACACACAGAAGUCAGAAAGAUUUUAGUUUCUUGCCUGUUUCAUGCUCUAUUCACCAGAGAGAAUCUGCCGAUAAAUUCAAUAUAAUCUCACGCCUGACUUGCUGAUACAGAUUUUUGCCAAUUUUCUUCAAUUGACAGCAUUUACAAAAAAAAGGAGUGUUCUUCUCUUCCCUACGAGCUGCACUCAGACUACAGUAGAUUAAGCUACAAUAUCCAUUAUAGUAUUUCUAAAUAUUCAGAAAUAUUAUAUCAUUUACCGUCUUAAACUAUUUUGCUUCAUUUAAGAAUGUACUGCAUGUUUUAUAAAGUUUUGGCAGGUGGAGUGCCGCAGUGUCGUUUCACCUUCUCCCCGCAGGACAUCAGCCAGAGUGAGUAACUCUUUUUCAGCGUCCCCUCACUUCCUCCCUCAUGGCUCUUCACUUCUGCUGCCAGAUUUCUUUUCUUUUCUAAAUGUCCUUGCUCUUUCCAGAUUCUUUCUUUUGGAACUUCAGUCCAGCACUUGAGGCUUUCAAAUCUGUAUGUCUGUCUGUAGGCAGUUGGGCACUUCUGUUCAAAUGACACUUUUAAGUUGGUUCAGUAAAAUGAAGUAAUGAUGUGUGAUGAUUCUCCUCUUGUUGAUGUGCCAGACACUGUGAACAGGAGCCUGAAGUGGACUGAGAAAAGACCCCUGUCGUGAUGGGAUGAUAUGUUUCUCAAAAAUUCCAAACUGGAUCCUUUAAACAACGUCCUACCUUUACCUUUAAAUGCUAAUGAGCCACUGUCUGCUCCACCCACCUCUUCUGUGGAGAAGACUCGAGGACGGCUUCACGUAAGCGUGGCAUGGAAGAAAGUGAGAGAUUCAAGAACGAACCUGGAUAUUCGUCAGUGGUCAGCAGUUAAGUUUAGUACCUCAACAGUACUAUGAUUUGAAGAGAAAUUAAAACGGCUGGUUUUGGGAGUUGAUAAAACUUGCACCUGAUUGGUUAAUACUAAAGAUCUCUUUCAUGUAUGAUGUCCAUGUGGCUGCUUUUUAAAAGACUUUUUCUUUUCUCAUUCAUAUAUUUGUUUCUGUUUCAGAUCAAAGUCAGACAUUGAUACUGACCUGAAGUCAGUCUCACCGCUGUAACCUCGACCGGAAAAGAUCUGCAGCAGACACAGGAAAGAUGUGUGUGAGGAUUCAGGAUCAGGUUUCACUUCUUAUUUCCUUUUUUUUAUUAUUUCCUUCUUUUCCCCCCUUGGUUUAAUGAGAAGAGCAAUUUAUGUGCUUGAAAUAAAGUUUAGUUUUUAGUUUUAAAACAAAAGCUGUGAAUGUGUGGACAUGAUAGUCAUGGAGGGAGCCAUCAGUAGUCCAGUCUGUAGAAAAAGUUUUCAGAAGAACUGCUUUAACUUUGAAGCACAGAAUAUUCUCCAGACUCAGUUUAAAAAAUGACAUUAACAACUUUUGCGUAGUGGAGCCACCACACAUUCACGACUCAUCCCUCGCAACACAGAGACCAAGCUAACGGUGGGCACUCCUUUGCUAAUUAAUGGCCAUCCUUGGGGUCAAACAACUAAAGUGGUGUCACAGUUCCUUUAAAAGUCCUUCACUGCUUCACACGUGCUGUGGGAUUGACCUCAGUGUAGACACGGAGUCAACAGAAGUGGGACGGAGACCAGCUGGUCCUUUGAGUGCUCCACAUUUAAUUGAAAAACUUUUUUUUUUCUCAGACAACACAGACAGAUACUCAAACAGUUAUGGCAUGUUUUCACUGCACACACACACACACACACACACACACACACACAUCUACAGUACGGUGUCACACACUCACUCACACAGGUGCAGAAUGUGCGGAAGGACACACAUACAAACACACACACACGAACCUCAGCAGGCGUGGUUUUAGACUGUCCAUAGAAAAGCUGUCAGUACCACAGACUGCAACUGUAAACACUGAUCAAGAUGAGGAACAUGUCAGGGGGAGGAAGAGGAGGAGGGGGAGGAGGAGGAGGAGGGGGGAGGAAGAGGAGCUGAUGAACAGGCAGGGGAGCUUCCUUUCUCUCUCUCUGAGGUCUGCGGUGUCUGUAGCUUGGUGUCCAUCUCUGGGCCUGUGGUAGGGGGUACAGGGUGAGCAGGCGAGGUGAGUGCAGGACAGAUGUGGGACACGGGUCGGGGGUUCGAUUCUGGAUCACAUUCCCAUGCGGAUGCUUUGAAUAAUCUGAAAUAUGGCUGAAAUCACACA